CUAACUCAAGAGGCGACCCAUUUUGAAGAUGUGGAUGACCGAGCUAGGGGGAGGAGCCCAGAAGAAUCCUUUCAGGAGAAGAAUGACUUGGAAGUUUGGAUUUCAAAUAUCAUCUUCAUAACUUUUCUGACGUAGCUCAAACGUGAAAGGCGAAUCACCGAAAAAGGGCUGCGCACCAAGAGCAACAACCUGUUUUCUAUGCUCUCCAAACAAGGAAGCGAGCUACACAUCACCAUUGUGCGCUCUUUCAACUGAGAAAUGCUGUCACUAGUGAGUGGCUCUGUUGGCUUGCACUAACACAGUUUAACAACUAGGAGUGGAACAGGAAGCAGAGUUUUACGUGGCACCAGUCUUACGAAACUUACGGAACAAAUGGAAAAAUCCACGUUGAUGUCACGCUGAAAAUCACCACGAAUUGGUCGAGCAUCCACUUACCACUGCAGCUGUCAGCCAUAAUAACACAGCGUGCAACAGUUACAAACUGAGUCAGGUUCUAAAUUGCAUUGCGAGUAUAAGUGGUUUAGAGAAUGAAUGAAUGAAUGCAUGAAUGAAUUUAGAUUUGUUUUUGUUUGUCGCAUUGAUUGAAUGUACGUCAUAUAUUUUUUAGAGCAGUACAGGUGGAGCCUGCUGGCAAUUUUCAGAAGAUAUGAUGUAUAUUUUACACAACAACAAUGACACCCCCACCCAAAAAAACAGGCUAUAACUGGAUUUUCUUUUGGGUCAUUUUUGUUCAACUAAACAUAUCUAUCAAUCAUUACUCAAAGUCUCUCGGACAAGAAACUCUCGACUUGUAUGACUUUUUUUUUUAAAAGAAAUAUCAUGAAACAAAAUAGAAUAAAGACAAAUGA